rnacentral:lncRNA from 1 species
CUCACCUCACCUCACCUCACCUCACCUCACCUCACCUCACCCUUCACCUCACCUCACCUCACCUCACCUAACCUCACCCUUCACCUCACCUCACCUCACCUCACCCUUCACCUCACCUCACCUCACCUAACCUCACCUAACCUCACCCUUCACCUCACCUCACCUCACCUCACCUCACCUCACCCUUCACCUCACCUCACCUCACCUCACCUCACCCUUCACCUCACCUCACCUCACCUCACCUCACCCUUCACCUCACCUCACCUCACCUCACCUCACCUCACCUCACCUCACCUCACCUCACCUCACCUCACCUCACCUCACCUCACCUCACCUCACCUCACC